rnacentral:rRNA from 1 species
AUUGAACGCUAGCGGGAUGCUUUACACAUGCAAGUCGAACGAGUGGCGGACGGGUGAGUAAUAUAUCGGAAGUGCCCAGUAGCGGGGGAUAACUACUGGAAACGGUAGCUAAUACCGCAUACUAUCGGAUAACCCAUAUGGGAUUAGCUAGUAGGUGGGGUAAAGGCUCACCUAGGCGACGAUCCCUAGCUGGUCUGAGAGGAUGAUCAGCCACACUGGGACUGAGACACGGCCCAGACUCCUACGGAGGCAGCAGUGGGGAAUAUUGCACAAUGGGCGCAAGCCUGAUGCAGCCAUGCCGCGUGUAUGAAGAAGGCCCUAGGGUUGUAAAGUACUUUCAGUCGGGAGGCGUUACCGACAGAAGAAGCACCGGCUAACUCCGUGCCAGCCGCCGCGGUAAUAC